CAGCGGCUCGUCUGAAGCCAGAACUGUUGCUGAUGAGAGUGUGUGUGUCGCUCUUCUGCUCUCUGAUGGAGGAGAUGCUGAUCUGAACACACGACGGGAGUGUGUCCUUCUCUUCAUCAUGCUCCUGAAGAGUGUGUGCGUCGCUCGGGCCCCGGGGCCGGUCUGACCCCAUGAGGAGCUCGGCCUCCACUGACCUCAUGCACAGGUUUGAGGUGCUCGGCGUUGUGGGAGAAGGAGCAUAUGGCGUCGUCCUCAAAUGCAGACACAAGGUAAGUGUUCAGUGAAGUCACAGACGCUCGUCUUCAGCCUUUGAGCAUCAUGUUUGCAGACACACACCGGCUAGAAACACGUCAGAAUAGUGCUGCUGUGAUGUUUAUUCCUGAUGU